rnacentral:rRNA from 1 species
AGAGUUUGAUCAUGGCUCAGGACGAACGCUGGCGGCGUGCUUAACACAUGCAAGUCGAACGAUGAUGACCAAAGCUUGCUUUGGUUGGAUUAGUGGCGAACGGGUGAGUAACACGUGAGUAACCUGCCCCCUUCUUCGGGAUAACCAUUGGAAACGGUGGCUAAUACCGGGUAUGACAUCAGAUCGCAUGGUUUGGUGUGGAAAGGUUUUUUCUGGUGGGGGAUGGGCUCGCGGCCUAUCAGCUUGUUGGUGGGGUGAUGGCCUACCAAGGCUUUGACGGGUAGCCGGCCUGAGAGGGCGACCGGCCACACUGGGACUGAGACACGGCCCAGACUCCUACGGGAGGCAGCAGUGGGGAAUAUUGCACAAUGGGGGAAACCCUGAUGCAGCGACGCCGCGUGGGGGAUGAAGGCCUUCGGGUUGUAAACCCCUUUCAGUAAGGAACAAGGCCAUGAUUGUUGUUGUGGUUGAGGGUACUUGCAGAAGAAGCGCCGGCUAACUACGUGCCAGCAGCCGCGGUAAUACGUAGGGCGCAAGCGUUGUCCGGAAUUAUUGGGCGUAAAGAGCUCGUAGGCGGUUUGUCGCGUCUGUCGUGAAAUCCCGAUGCUUAACGUCGGGCUUGCGGUGGGUACGGGCAGGCUGGAGUGCGGUAGGGGUGACUGGAAUUCCUGGUGUAGCGGUGGAAUGCGCAGAUAUCAGGAGGAACACCGAUGGCGAAGGCAGGUCACUGGGCCGUUACUGACGCUGAGGAGCGAAAGCAUGGGGAGCGAACAGGAUUAGAUACCCUGGUAGUCCAUGCCGUAAACGUUGGGCACUAGGUGUGGGGGAUUGUUCCACGAUUCCUGUACCGUAGCUAACGCAUUAAGUGCCCCGCCUGGGGAGUACGGCCGCAAGGCUAAAACUCAAAUGAAUUGACGG